rnacentral:rRNA from 1 species
GAGUUUGAUCUUGGCUCAGAUUGAACGCUGGCGGCAUGCCUUACACAUGCAAGUCGAACGGCAGCACGGGAGCUUGCUCCUGGUGGCGAGUGGCGAACGGGUGAGUAAUGCAUCGGAACGUAUCCUGGAGUGGGGGAUAACGUAGCGAAAGUUACGCUAAUACCGCAUAUUCUGUGAGCAGGAAAGCGGGGGACCUUCGGGCCUCGCGCUCUUGGAGCGGCCGAUGUCGGAUUAGCUAGUUGGUGAGGUAAAGGCUCACCAAGGCGACGAUCCGUAGCAGGUCUGAGAGGAUGAUCUGCCACACUGGAACUGAGACACGGUCCAGACUCCUACGGGAGGCAGCAGUGGGGAAUUUUGGACAAUGGGGGCAACCCUCGAUCCAGCCAUGCCGCGUGAGUG